rnacentral:rRNA from 1 species
CGGCGGACGGGUGAGUAAUGCCUAGGAAUCUGCCUGGUAGUGGGGGAUAACGUUCGGAAACGGACGCUAAUACCGCAUACGUCCUACGGGAGAAAGCAGGGGACCUUCGGGCCUUGCGCUAUCAGAUGAGCCUAGGUCGGAUUAGCUAGUUGGUGAGGUAAUGGCUCACCAAGGCGACGAUCCGUAACUGGUCUGAGAGGAUGAUCAGUCACACUGGAACUGAGACACGGUCCAGACUCCUACGGGAGGCAGCAGUGGGGAAUAUUGGACAAUGGGCGAAAGCCUGAUCCAGCCAUGCCGCGUGUGUGAAGAAGGUCUUCGGAUUGUAAAGCACUUUAAGUUGGGAGGAAGGGUUGUAGAUUAAUACUCUGCAAUUUUGACGUUACCGACAGAAUAAGCACCGGCUAACUCUGUGCCAGCAGCCGCGGUAAUACAGAGGGUGCAAGCGUUAAUCGGAAUUACUGGGCGUAAAGCGCGCGUAGGUGGUUUGUUAAGUUGGAUGUGAAAUCCCCGGGCUCAACCUGGGAACUGCAUUCAAAACUGACUGACUAGAGUAUGGUAGAGGGUGGUGGAAUUUCCUGUGUAGCGGUGAAAUGCGUA